UACGUAGGGUGCUAGCGUUGUCCGGAUUUAUUGGGCGUAAAGGGCUCGUAGGCGGCGUGUCGCGUCGGGGAGUGAAAGCCCGCUGCUUAACGGCGGGUUGGCUUCCGGUACGGGCAUCGCUGGAGUGCGGCAGGGGAGACUGGAAUUCCUGGUGUAGCGGUGGAAUGCGCAGAUAUCAGGAGGAACACCGGUGGCGAAGGCGGGUCUCUGGGCCGUUACUGACGCUGAGGAGCGAAAGCGUGGGGGAGCGAACAGG
rnacentral:rRNA from 1 species